rnacentral:rRNA from 1 species
GACGAACGCUGGCGGCGUGCUUAACACAUGCAAGUCGAACGGAAGGGCCCUGCUUUUGUGGGGUGCUCGAGUGGCGAACGGGUGAGUAACACGUGAGUAACCUGCCCUUGACUUUGGGAUAACUUCAGGAAACUGGGGCUAAUACCGUAUAGGAUCUCCUGCUGCAUGGUGGGGGUUGGAAAUUUUCGGCGGUUGGUGAUGGACUCGCUGCUUUUCAGCUUUUUGGUGGGGUAGUGGCUUACCAAGGCUUUGACGGGUAGCCGGCCUGAGAGGGUGACCGGCCAAAUUGGGACUGAGAUACGGCCCAGACUCCAACGGGAGGCAGCAGUGGGGAAUAUUGCAAAAUGGGCGGAAGCCUGAUGAAGAAACGCCGCGUGCGGGAUGACAGCCUUCGGGUUGUAAACAGAUUUCGCAUGUGACGAAGCGUGAGUGACGGUAAUGGGUAAAGAAGCACCGGCUAACUACGUG